GAUGAAGAACGCAGCAAAAUGCGAUAAGUAAUGUGAAUUGCAGAAUUCAGUGAAUCAUCGAAUCUUUGAACGCACAUUGCGCCCGCCAGUAUUCUGGCGGGCAUGCCUGUUCGAGCGUCAUUUCAACCCUCAAGCUCAGCUUGGUGUUGGGACUCGCGGUAACCCGCGUUCCCCAAAUCGAUUGGCGGUCACGUCGAGCUUCCAUAGCGUAGUAAUCAUACACCUCGUUACUGGUAAUCGUCGCGGCCACGCCGUAAAACCCCAACUUCUGAAGGUUGACCGCGGAUAAGGUAGGAAUACCCGCUGAACUUAAGCAUAUCAAUAAGCGGAGGA
rnacentral:misc_RNA from 1 species